rnacentral:rRNA from 1 species
UACGGAGGAUGCAAGCGUUAUCCGGAAUGAUUGGGCGUAAAGCGUCCGCAGGUGGCUUUGUAAGUCUGCUGUUAAAGAGUGAGGCUCAACCUCAUAAGAGCAGUGGAAACUACAAGGCUAGAGUACGUUCGGGGCAGAGGGAAUUCCUGGUGUAGCGGUGAAAUGCGUAGAGAUCAGGAAGAACACCGGUGGCGAAAGCGCUCUGCUAGGCCGCAACUGACACUGAGGGACGAAAGCUAGGGGAGCGAAUGGG